GACGAACGCUGGCGGCGUGCUUAACACAUGCAAGUCGAACGGAAAGGCCCUGCUUUUGUGGGGUGCUCGAGUGGCGAACGGGUGAGUAACACGUGAGUAACCUGCCCUUGACUUUGGGAUAACUUCAGGAAACUGGGGCUAAUACCGGAUAGGAGCUCCUGCUGCAUGGUGGGGGUUGGAAAGUUUCGGCGGUUGGGGAUGGACUCGCGGCUUAUCAGCUUGUUGGUGGGGUAGUGGCUUACCAAGGCUUUGACGGGUAGCCGGCCUGAGAGGGUGACCGGACACAUUGGGACUGAGAUACGGCCCAGACUCCUACGGGAGGCAGAAGUGGGGAAUAUUGCACAAUGGGCGGAAGCCUGAUGCAGCAACGCCGCGUGCGGGAUGACGGCCUUCGGGUUGUAAACCGCUUUCGCCUGUGACGAAGCGUGAGUGACGGUAAUGGGUAAAGAAGCACCGGCUAACUACGUG
rnacentral:rRNA from 1 species